rnacentral:rRNA from 1 species
CCUACGGGAGGCAGCAGUGAGGAAUAUUGGUCAAUGGACGAGAGUCUGAACCAGCCAAGUAGCGUGAAGGAUGACUGCCCUAUGGGUUGUAAACUUCUUUUAUAUGGGAAUAAACUGUUCCACGUGUGGGAUUUUGUAUGUACCAUUUGAAUAAGGAUCGGCUACCUCCGUGCCAGCAGCCGCGGUAAUACGGAGGAUCCGAGCGUUAUCCGGGUUUAUUGGGUUUAAAGGGAGCGUAGGUGGAUUGUUAAGUCAGUUGUGAAAGUUUGCGGCUCAACCGUAAAAUUGCAGUUGAAACUGGCAGUCUUGAGUACAGUAGAGGUGGGCGGAAUUCGUGGUGUAGCGGUGAAAUGCUUAGAUAUCACGAAGAACUCCGAUUGCGAAGGCAGUUCACUGGACUGCAACUGACACUGAGGCUCGAAAGUGUGGGUAUCAAACAGGAUUAGAUACCCGAGUAGUC